rnacentral:rRNA from 1 species
GAUGAACGCUGGCGGCGUGCCUAAUACAUGCAAGUCGAGCGAACGGACGAGAAGCUUGCUUCUCUGAUGUUAGCGGCGGACGGGUGAGUAACACGUGGAUAACCUACCUAUAAGACUGGGAUAACUUCGGGAAACCGGAGCUAAUACCGGAUAAUAUUUUGAACCGCAUGGUUCAAAAGUGAAAGACGGUCUUGCUGUCACUUAUAGAUGGAUCCGCGCUGCAUUAGCUAGUUGGUAAGGUAACGGCUUACCAAGGCAACGAUGCAUAGCCGACCUGAGAGGGUGAUCGGACACACUGGAACUGAGACACGGUCCAGACUCCUACGGGAGGCAGCAGUAGGGAAUCUUCCGCAAUGGGCGAAAGCCUGACGGAGCAACGCCGCGUGAGUGAUGAAGGUCUUCGGAUCGUAAAACUCUGUUAUUAGGGAAGAACAUAAGUGUAAGUAACUGUGCACAUCUUGACGGUACCUAAUCAGAAAGCCACGGCUAACUACGUG